AAGUCGUAACAAGGUUUCCGUAGGUGAACCUGCGGAAGGAUCAUUAAUGAAACUGAAGUAAUAAUAUACACCGUGAAUUGGCUGGGAGAUAUCUCAGCAUAUAAACAACCACAAUAAUAUAUUUGUAUUAAUACAACUUUUAACAAUGGAUCUCUUGGCUCUC
rnacentral:misc_RNA from 1 species